rnacentral:rRNA from 1 species
UACAGAGGUCUCAAGCGUUGUUCGGAUUCAUUGGGCGUAAAGGGUGCGUAGGCGGCGCGGUAAGUCGGGUGUGAAAUCUCGGAGCUUAACUCCGAAACUGCAUUCGAUACUGCCGUGCUUGAGGACUGGAGAGGAGACUGGAAUUUACGGUGUAGCGGUGAAAUGCGUAGAUAUCGUAAGGAAGACCAGUGGCGAAGGCGGGUCUCUGGCCCGGUACUGACGCUGAGGUGCGAAAGCGUGGGGAGCAAACAGG